UUGUAUGUGUUGAGGUCUAAGGUUU
rnacentral:piRNA from 1 species